ensembl:snoRNA
AUGCAUUAAGAAAAAAAUUGGGCUGCACCUGCACAUGGCGCCAGGGGUCAGGCUGCAGUGCCAGAGGACAUGCUCACGCAUAACUGGGGCCACCUGUCUUGAUGGCAGCCCUUUUAACUGUGAGCUACAUAG